UCAUCAGACCCCAUAAAAGGUGUUGGUUACAAUAGACAGCAGGACUUUGGCCAUAAAAGUCAGCACCCGCCACAGAGUGUGUAACAACUCACCUGCCAAAUCAACUAGAUCUAAAAAUGGAUGGCACUGCA
rnacentral:ncRNA from 1 species